rnacentral:rRNA from 1 species
UACGUAGGGGGCAAGCGUUGUCCGGAAUCAUUGGGCGUAAAGCGCGUGUAGGCGGCUCGAUAAGUCUGCUGUGAAAGUCCAGGGCUCAACCCUGGAAUGCCGGUGGAAACUGUCGAGCUAGAGUCCGGAAGAGGCGAGUGGAAUUCCUGGUGUAGCGGUGAAAUGCGCAGAUAUCAGGAGGAACACCAAUGGCGAAGGCAGCUCGCUGGGACGGUACUGACGCUGAGGCGCGAAAGCGUGGGGAGCGAACAGG